GCAAUGGCCAGGCGCCAGGACUGCCCCGCCACGGCAGAGACUGGGGGAAUAUACCCACUUCCAUGACUCCAAGUCUGAGGCUCUGCGGACCCCCUUCACGGCCGUGGCUCAGAAAGCAGACCCUGCCUGGUGUGUCUAGGAUCCGGCCGAUCCCUCCCUGAGAAUCAUAUAUGCACCCGGACCCAUGUGCUUCAAGUACGACGUACUUGACAUCGCCGCUGGGCUAAUGGCCAUUGCAAACCUGUCCAGAGAGAAGCCAUCGGCAAGUCUUGUUGGUUCUACCUCUAAAAUCUUUUCAGUCAGCCCAUUCGUCUCCUGCCGCCACCCAGGACCAAGUCCCCACCGCCAUCUCCCAGGAUUGUUGGUAGUCUCCUAACUGUCUCCCACUCCCACGCUCCCCACGUUCCAGAUGAUCCUCCACAUGGCAGGAAGGGUGCUCCCGACAAAAUGCCAAUCGAGUCCCAUCCCUCAGAUCCCUUCUCAGAACAUCUGCCAUUCUUCCCGCUGCAUUUGAAAUAAAGUCCAAAAGCACCACCA